rnacentral:rRNA from 1 species
GACGAACGCUGGCGGCGUGCUUAACACAUGCGAGUCGAACGGAAAGGCCCUGCUUUUGUGGGGUGCUCGAGUGGCGAACGGGUGAGUAACACGUGAGUAACCUGCCCUUGACUUUGGGAUAACUUCAGGAAACUGGGGCUAAUACCGGAUAGGAGCUCCUGCUGCAUGGUGGGGGUUGGAAAGUUUCGGCGGUUGGGGGUGGACUCGCGGCUUAUCAGCUUGUUGGUGGGGUAGUGGCUUACCAAGGCUUUGACGGGUAGCCGGCCUGAGAGGGUGACCGGCCACAUUGGGACUGAGAUACGGCCCAGACUCCUACGGGAGGCAGCAGUGGGGAAUAUUGCACAAUGGGCGGAAGCCUGAUGCAGCAACGCCGCGUGCGGGAUGACGGCCUUCGGGUUGUAAACCGCUUUCGCCUGUGACGAAGCGUGAGUGACGGUAAUGGGUAAAGAAGCACCGGCUAACUACGUG